rnacentral:rRNA from 1 species
UACGUAGGGGGCAAGCGUUGUCCGGAUUUACUGGGUGUAAAGGGCGCGCAGGCGGGCUUGUAAGUCGGUGGUGAAAGCCUGUGGCUUAACUACAGAACUGCCAUUGAUACUACAAGUCUUGAGUGCGGAAGAGAGAGACGGAAUUCCAGGUGUAGUGGUGAAAUACGUAGAUAUCUGGAAGAACACCAGUUGCGAAGGCGGUCUCUUGGUCCGUUACUGACGCUCAGGCGCGAAAGCGUGGGUAGCAAACAGG